rnacentral:rRNA from 1 species
UGCGUAGGCGGAUUUAUAAGUCAGUGGUGAAAUCCUACAGCUUAACUGUAGAACUGCCAUUGAUACUGUAGAUCUUGAGUACGGUUGAGGUGGGCGGAAUGUGUCAUGUAGCGGUGAAAUGCUUAGAUAUGACACAGAACACCAAUUGCGAAGGCAGCUCGCUAAACCGUAACUGACGCUGAGGCACGAAAGCGUGGGGAGCGAACAGGAUUAGAUACCAUGGUAGUCC